rnacentral:rRNA from 1 species
UUGAACGCUGGCGGCAUGCUUUACACAUGCAAGUCGAACGGCAGCACGGGGGCAACCCUGGUGGCGAGUGGCGAACGGGUGAGUAAUAUAUCGGAACAUAUCCGGGAGUGGGGGAUAACGUAGCGAAAGUUACGCUAAUACCGCAUAUGCCCUGAGGGGGAAAGUGGGGGAUCGCAAGACCUCACGCUUUCGGAGUGGCCGAUAUCGGAUUAGCUAGUUGGUGGGGUAAAGGCCCACCAAGGCGACGAUCCGUAGCUGGUCUGAGAGGACGACCAGCCACACUGGGACUGAGACACGGCCCAGACUCCUACGGGAGGCAGCAGUGGGGAAUUUUGGACAAUGGGGGCAACCCUGAUCCAGCCAUUCCGCGUGAGUGAAGAAGGCCUUCGGGUUGUAAAGCUCUUUCAGCAGGAGCGAAACGGUCGUUUUUAAUACAGACGGCUAAUGACGGUACCUGCAGAAGAAGCACCGGCUAACUACGU